UACGUAGGCAGCGAGCGUUGUUCGGAGUUACUGGGCGUAAAGCGCGUGUAGGCGGCUCGGUAAGUCUGCUCUGAAAGUCCAAGGCUCAACCUUGGGAUGCGGGUGGAUACUGCCGGGCUCGAGUCCGGAAGAGGCGAGUGGAAUUCCUGGUGUAGCGGUGAAAUGCGCAGAUAUCAGGAGGAACACCAAUGGCGAAGGCAGCUCGCUGGGACGUGACUGACGCUGAGACGCGAAAGCGUGGGGAGCAAACAGG
rnacentral:rRNA from 1 species